rnacentral:rRNA from 1 species
AGUUAAGUUAGAAAGGGCGCACGGUGGAUGCCUUGGCACUAGGAGCCGAUGAAGGACGGGACAAACACCGAUAUGCUUCGGGGAGCUGUAAGUAAGCGUUGAUCCGGAGAUUUCCGAAUGGGGAAACCCACUGUCCGUAAUGGGGCAGUAUCCAUACGUGAAUCCAUAGCGUAUGGAGGGCACACCCGGGGAACUGAAACAUCUAAGUACCCGGAGGAGAAGAAAGCAAAAGCGAUUCCCUGAGUAGCGGCGAGCGAAACGGGAACAGCCCAAACCAAGAGGCUUGCCUCUUGGGGUUGUAGGACACUCAAUACGGAGUGACAAAGGAACGGAGUAGAUGAAGCGGUCUGGAAAGGCCCGCCAGAGGAGGUAACAGCCCUGUAGUCGAAACUUCGUUCCCUCCUGAGUGGAUCCUGAGUACGGCGGGACACGAGGAAUCCCGUCGGAAGCAGGGAGGACCAUCUCCCAAGGCUAAAUACUCCCUAGUGACCGAUAGUGAACCAGUACCGUGAGGGAAAGGUGAAAAGCACCCCGGGAGGGGAGUGAAAGAGAACCUGAAACCGUGUGCCUACAAGUAGUCAGAGCCCGUUUAUGGGUGAUGGCGUGCCUUUUGUAGAAUGAACCGGCGAGUUACGAUCUCGUGCGAGGUUAAGUCGAAAAGACGGAGCCGCAGCGAAAGCGAGUCUGAAUAGGGCGUAUAGUACGAGGUCGUAGACCCGAAACCAGGUGAUCUACCCAUGUCCAGGGUGAAGGUAGGGUAAUACCUACUGGAGGCCCGAACCCACGCACGUUGAAAAGUGCGGGGAUGAGGUGUGGGUAGGGGUGAAAUGCCAAUCGAACUUGGAGAUAGCUGGUUCUCCCCGAAAUAGCUUUAGGGCUAGCCUCGAGUGAAGAGUCUUGGAGGUAGAGCACUGAUUGGGCUAGGGGCCCUCAUCGGGUUACCGAACUCAGUCAAACUCCGAAUGCCAAUGACUUAUACUCGGGAGUCAGACUACGAGUGAUAAGAUCCGUGGUCAAGAGGGAAACAGCCCAGAUCACCAGCUAAGGUCCCAAAGUGUACGUUAAGUGGAAAAGGAUGUGGAGUUGCUUAGACAACCAGGAUGUUGGCUUAGAAGCAGCCACCAUUUAAAGAGUGCGUAAUAGCUCACUGGUCGAGUGACUCUGCGCCGAAAAUGUACCGGGGCUAAACGUACCACCGAAGCUGUGGGACGACUUACGUCGUCGGUAGGGGAGCGUUCUAAGGGCGUCGAAGCUAGACCGGAAGGACUAGUGGAGCGCUUAGAAGUGAGAAUGCCGGUGUGAGUAGCGAAAACAGAGGUGAGAAUCCUCUGCACCGAAAGCCU